GCCCGUGUAGCUCAGUCGGUAGAGCACCUCGUUGGUAACGAGGAGGCCACCAGUUCAAGUCUGGUCGCGGGCUCCA
rnacentral:tRNA from 2 species